GACGAACCGUGCGAACGUUAUUCGGAAUCACUGGGCUUAAAGCGCGUGUAGGCGGGUCGGAACGUCGGCCGUUGAAAUCCCCCGGCUCAACCGGGGAAGUGGCGCCGAUACGACCGACCUGGAGCGACGUAGGGGGAACUGGAACUUCCGGUGGAGCGGUGAAAUGCGUUGAGAUCGGAAGGAACGCCCGUGGCGAAAGCGAGCUCCUGGACGUCUGCUGACGCUGAGACGCGAAAGCCAGGGGAGCGAACGGG
rnacentral:rRNA from 1 species